AGAGUUUGAUUCUGGCUCAGGACGAACGCUGGUGGCGGGCCUAACACAUGCAAGUCGAACGAGGCUUUCCGGUGCUUGCAUCGGAAAAUCGAGUGGCGAACGGGUGAGUAAUACAUGAGAAACCUGCCUUGGAGACGGGGACAACCUCGGGAAACUGAGGCUAAUACCCGAUAUCCCUGCCGAGUCGCAUGACUUGGCAAGAAAAUACUCAGGUGCUCCAAGAGGGUCUCAUGCCCUAUCAGCUUGUUGGUGAGGUAAAAGCUCACCAAGGCUUAGACGGGUAGCUGGUCUGAGAGGACGAUCAGCCACACUGGGACUGAGACACGGCCCAGACUCCUACGGGAGGCAGCAGUGGGGAAUCUUGCGCAAUGGGCGAAAGCCUGACGCAGCCACGCCACGUGUGGGACGACGGCCCUCGGGUUGUAAACCACUUUCAGCAGGGACGAAAAUGACGGUACCUGCAGAAGAAGCCCCGGCCAACUACGUGCCAGCAGCCGCGGUAACACGUAGGGGGCGAGCGUUGUCCGGAAUUACUGGGCGUAAAGGGCUCGUAGGCGGUUUGGUAAGUCAGAUGUGAAAACUCCAGGCUCAACUUGGAGACGCCAUCUGAUACUGCCAUGACUAGAGUUUGGUAGAGGAGUGCAGAAUUCCCGGUGUAGCGGUGAAAUGCGCAGAUAUCGGGAGGAAUACCAGUCAGCGAAGGCGGCACUCUGGGCCACAACUGACGCUGAGGAGCGAAAGCGUGGGGAGCGAACAGGAUUAGAUACCCUGGUAGUCCACGCCGUAAACGGUGGGCACUAGGUGUGGGACCCUGUCAACGGGUUCCGUACACGUAGCUAACGCGUUAAGUGCCCCGCCUGGGGAGUACGGCCGCAAGGCUAAAACUCAAAGGAAUUGACGGGGGCCCGCACAAGCGGCGGAGCAUGUUGCUUAAUUCGAGGCAACGCGAAGAACCUUACCUGGGCUUGACAUGCUGGGAAAGCCAUAGAGAUAUGGUGU
rnacentral:rRNA from 1 species